rnacentral:sRNA from 1 species
UUUCAGGUUGGCUGCAGAAGGUCCGAAGAAAGAGGAGUUACUGGAGGAAAAAGUGGUUCAGAGGUGACUAUUCAACCGCAUAAGAGAUGGUGAAAAUUAACCUAUCACCACUGCUAAUGAACAUCACCCUAUGGAGAACCGGAGACACAAAAGGGAAGAUUCAGAAUGUGUGACUUGUAUAAAAUAAAACCAGUUUCCCCCGACCCCAACACCUUCUUUGAACAUCUCUUUCUCCACCUCUCAAAAAAUUUCCUACUGAGUUGGUCCUCUAGUGAAAAGAGCAGUUAAUAAGAUGGAAAGCAACUGGACGUGGUGAAGAAAAAGCCAGCGAACUUAGGGGUGAGACUGAAGCCCCUCAGGGUGGCUGAGCUGCUAUUUGAAAAAUUCCUUCAAGUCACGUGCGGCCUGUCAAGAGAUGAGGUGAAGGAAGAGAAUGAUAAAUAUCUAUCUCCAGUGGAAGGAUCAUUUUGAAAGAAGGGCUGUUAGAUUAAAAACCAAGCUAGCCAGGGAACGUUAAAGGAAGAGAAGUUCUCACAAGCAUUUUAAUGCCAAGCAUGUGUUCCAACGAGAGGAACACAGGAAAGCUCUUCAGCAGAUGAGAAAAUGAAAUUCGGCAUCACUAAUUCAUAGGAAUGAUAACAAAAACGGCAGUGAAGAAAAUCUGUGCAUUUUAAAAAAUGCAUGUUUUUUGCUUAGUGUUGUCCCUUCCCCUCCUGGCUUUUAGUAUACUGCAUUCAUUAAAGUAGCUGAGAAGAAAAAUAGUAGAUGCUGUUAACGUCAGGCCUGAGAGCUUCCAUAUCCUGUGUUGCGUUGAGUUUUGGGUUUGUUUCCUUAUUCACUGUCUUCUAGAUCUCAGACCCUAGCAGAAGGUCUCAGAAUGGACCUAGUAAACUUUGGUCAUACCUCCA